rnacentral:rRNA from 1 species
AACGAACGCUGGCGGCAUGCCUAACACAUGCAAGUCGAACGAGACCUUCGGGUCUUGUGUCGCACGGGUGCGUAACGCGUGGGAACCUGCCCUUAGGUUCGGCAUAACUCCCCGACAGGGGUGCUAAUACCGGAUAAUGUCUUCGGACCAAAGAUAUAUCGCCUUUGGAUGGGCCCGCGUUGGAUUAGCUAGUUGGUAGGGUAAAAGCCUACCAAGGCGCGGAUCCAUAGCUGGUCUGAGAGGAUGAUCAGCCACACUGGGACUGAGACGCGGCCCAGAAUCCUACGGGAGGCAGCAGUGGGGAAUAUUGGAAAGUGGGCGGAGGGCUGAUGCAGCUAGGCCGCGUGAGUGAUGAAGGUCGUAGGGAUGUAAAGCGCUUUUACCCGGGAUGAUAAUGACAGUACCGGGAGAAUAAGCUCCGGCUAACUCCGUG